rnacentral:lncRNA from 10 species
UAACCCACUCCUAGAGAAGUCAAUGGAAAGAGCUGGGGGAAUAACAAUACUAAUGGCACUUAAGUAACUAAGGCUUAAUGAGCACUUAAUGCCCAGCACCAUGCAGAGUCCUUUAUCCUAAUCCUCCAUCAACCUCAAAUACUAGAUACUCUUGUUAUCUGUAUUUAUUUCUGUAUCACAGCAAUCUGUAUCACUGUAUUUCUGUUCCACAGACCUUAGUCACACAAGAGCGAUGGCAAGAUUUUCACCCAAGCCAUCUGACUUGGAACCCAUGGAUUAACCAACUGCCACUGGAGGCAAAUCCAGAGACCAAGGGAGCAGUUUAUACAGAAACAGAUGCCGGCAUUAACCCACAGGGAGUUAUUGUUACAGACUGAAGAAUAGAAAAAGAAAAAGCCAAAUAGAGCCUUAUUCCACCCAGCUUAGCUUCCAUAGAACAUUGUGAAUGAGAGAGUAGAUUCUUGAGAAAAUCCUGGGGUUACCCAGUUUUCAUGACUCGUUUCGUUAGACCAUCAUUUCCCAAAGUGUGUUCUUUAUAAAAAGUAGUUCUUCAGAAGGCUGGAAAGUAUUGUUUGGAAGGGGGUUCCGUGAUGAAGUCAGUUUGGAAUGCAGGCUUUACCCAGUUUUGAGAAGAUUCUUUGCAGGACUUCUCAGGGCCUUUGUGAAUCUCCAAAGAAAGAAUGUAGUGUGAAGUAUGAAAACUUUCUCCUGGCUGAUGGAACACACUUUGCAAAGCACUUCCACAGACCAAUAUGAUUUCCAGUAAGAGCUAAAUAAAUUUUGUUAGUUGUUAAGGCAUAAAACAUUAAUAUAGGAUAUUACAGUCCUAGGCUUACAUUACUUAAUUUGGAUUUUUUGCAAAAAUUAACUUUAAUGUGAAAAAUUAGGAGACAAUAUAGAGAAAAUUCAAGAGCCUCUCCAGAUAAAUUCUUAGAACUAAUGAGAAAGUUCACUAAAGUUUCUGGAUAUAAAAUGCCCAGGGCACCGGAGGGGGAAAUACUUUCUUGUAUAUUAAUAGCAAACAAUUAGAAUAAUUUUUAAAAUACCAUUUAUAAUAGUACCAAAAUCUAUGAAGUAUCUAAGAAUAAGUCUAUUAAAAUAUGGCCAAAACAUUCAUGGAGAAAACUUAUAGCCUUUAUUUAAAGACAUAAAAUAAUUCUUAAACAAAUGGAGACAUUAUUAAAUAUGUUUAUGGAUAAGAGAGACUCAAUGUAGUAAAGAUGUAAUCUUCUCCAUCUUUCACUUCCUUUGCUUCCUAAUUAAGACUUAUAUCGCUCUUGGCUGCGCACAGUGGCUCACACCUGUAAUCUCAG